rnacentral:rRNA from 1 species
GACGAACGCUGGCGGCGUGCUUAACACAUGCAAGUCGAACGGUGAAAGCGGAGCUUGCUCCGCUGGAUCAGUGGCGAACGGGUGAGUAACACGCGGGCAACCUGCCCCUCACUUCGGGAUAACUCCGGGAAACCGGGGCUAAUACCGGAUAUGACCUCCUUGGGCAUCCUUGGAGGUGGAAAGUUUUUCGGUGAGGGAUGGGCCGGCGGCCUAUGAGCUUGUUGGUGAGGUAGGGGCUCACCAAGGCGACGACGGGUAGCCGGCCUGAGAGGGCGACCGGCCACACGGGGACUGAGACAGGGCCCAGAGUCCUACGGGAGGCAGCAGUGGGGAAUAUUGCGCGAUGGGCGAAAGCCUGACGCAGCAACGCCGCGUGCGGGAUGACGGCCUUCGGGUUGUAAACCGCUUUCAGCAGGGAAGAAGCCGCAAGGUGACGGUACCUGCAGAAGAAGCACCGGCUAACUACGUGCCAGCAGCCGCCGUAAAAC